UAUAAGAACAGUCCAUUUACAUUUGUUUUCAUGAGAAUGUUUGUGGAGAUCCUCAUGAACACGAGCGCUAUAUUACUUAAACAUCUGAUUUUAUAAAAGGAAGGUAUUCUUGCACGCCAAUUUUGGACUGACUCACUCACUCUUUCAUUGUCUUCCAUUCUGUCUUUUUCUGUAUUUCUUUCUCUUUCUUUUUAGAUACAGGAAGCAACAACAGUCCGAGAGGCAAACAGUGCAAUUGCAGAGGCAGCAGAUAGUCUCAGCAUUAUAGGUUCCUUAAGACAUGUUUCCAGCCUGAAGGAGAAGGACUCCCUUGUACAGUCAGCUGCAGACUUCUUCAUCAAUGGAAGAUUGGUGACUGCCCUGGACCAGUUUGCUGAGGGGUUAAAAACCCUUGGUUUACUGGAGGAGCUGAGGAAAAAUCCAGCAGUGUUCUACAACAUGUUUGUCAGUGAGGAGAUUCCACUACAGGCGAAGGACCUAUGCACUUUAUUUGACGUGGACUUCUCUGUACAGGGCAGCAACAGGAGAGACCGAGAAAACCAGACAAUAUGCUUUUGGCGUGACUGGUUAAUUGAAAUUGAAGAAGGAGAAUGCAGUCCAGUCACCCUGGAGAAGGUAUUGGAGUUUACAUCUGGAGCCUCAACAGUACCUCCGCUGGGAUUUCCACACCGUCAAUUCAGUUCCUUCAUGAGGGCAACAGAAUCUUCCCAGAAGCAAUACUUGUGCUCUUCUACUCCGCCUGCCACUGCACUCUUCCUAUGAAGCCUUCAAACAAUACAUGAUGGAGGGAAUUUUGCAAGCUCCAACCUUUGGACUUGCAUGAUGUCAGUGUGUAAAAUUUAUUAAUGGAAAUUCAGUUUUCACUUGAGCUAUAUUUUUGCUUGGAAGCUAGUUGAUAGAAUGCUGUGUUGAAGCAAGUCAAAGGUUCAGAAUGUAAUCUUUUUUUAUUUAUUUUUUUAGAUUCAGUAAUUUUUUUCAUUUUGCAUGACUAACAGUUAACUUCAGUUUAUAGGUUAUUCAAUAUUGAGUUUUUCAGUUAACUCAAAUUUAUUUAUUUUUUUGCUUUUUCUUUUGAAAAUAUUUUUAUAUUUUUGAAGAUUCUAAAUUGACAUGAUUUUCACAUGAUGUUCACCAUCAUCUAUUGCAGACAGCAUACUUCUAACAGGUAUACCCAUCAACUUUGACUUAUUGUACAGAAAUGAUGAGGAGCAUCCCAGUAUUUCAGCAGUUUUUGCAAUUGUAUGGCCUUGCUUCAGCAGAAAUUCAAUGUGUUCUCUGGUAACAUCAAUGGCUGGUCGGCCUCUUCUCCCUAAGUUUACGUGUUUAAGCAGCA